rnacentral:rRNA from 1 species
CCGGAGGAAGGUGGGGAUGACGUCAAGUCCUCAUGGCCCUUAUGGGUAGGGCUUCACACGUCAUACAAUGGUCGGUACAGAGGGUUGCCAAGCCGCGAGGCGGAGCCAAUCCCACAAAGCCGAUCGUAGUCCGGAUUGUUCUCUGCAACUCGAGAGCAUGAAGUCGGAAUCGCUAGUAAUCGCAGGUCAGCAUACUGCGGUGAAUACGUUCCCGGGUCUU